UACGUAGGGUCCGAGCGUUGUCCGGAAUUAUUGGGCGUAAAGAGCUCGUAGGCGGUUUGUCGCGUCUGCUGUGAAAUCCCGAGGCUCAACCUCGGGCCUGCAGUGGGUACGGGCAGACUGGAGUGCGGUAGGGGAGAAUGGAAUUCCUGGUGUAGCGGUGAAAUGCGCAGAUAUCAGGAAGAACACCAAUGGCGAAGGCAGCUCUCUGGGACGGUACUGACGCUGAGACGCGAAAGCGUGGGGAGCGAACAGG
rnacentral:rRNA from 1 species